rnacentral:piRNA from 1 species
UGGAAGCGGUGCUCCUGGAAA